UACGAAGGGGGCUAGCGUUGCUCGGAAUCACUGGGCGUAAAGCGCACGUAGGCGGCUUUCUAAGUCAGGGGUGAAAUCCUGGAGCUCAACUCCAGAACUGCCUUUGAUACUGGAGAGCUUGAGUCCGGGAGAGGUGAGUGGAACUCCGAGUGUAGAGGUGAAAUUCGUAGAUAUUCGCAAGAACACCAGUGGCGAAGGCGGCUCACUGGCUCGGUACUGACGCUGAGGUGCGAAAGCGUGGGGAGCAAACAGG
rnacentral:rRNA from 1 species